AGGACAAGUGUACUGUGGAAACUAUGAUCCAGGUCAGCAGCCAGUCAUUUCAUAGAAGGUAAACUUCAAGAACAUUCUCUGAAGGGCAGUGAAACUGAGUAAGAUCUAACCACUGUUACCAGCAACCAAGAAAAAUAGACAAUGAAGUUAUUCAUCAUGCAUGACCCAGUAACAUUUCUCAGCAGUUGGAUUCAAUAUGAGAAAUAAGCAAAUAAUCGCACUGCUUCUUCCAUUUCAAAGUCAUGUCUCUUAUAAAAAGUGGUCAAGAAAAAUGCCUGUUGCCUUACAUACUGUUCACAAAAUCUGCAUUUCUGCACCAUGAUUUUGAAGGCAAAAUCCCAACUGCUGGGCUAGUGGUCAAUUCUGAGGCGCCCAACAUGUUCUGGAGGCAGUGUCAG